rnacentral:rRNA from 1 species
AUUGAACGCUGGCGGCAGGCCUAACACAUGCAAGUCGAGCGGAUGAAGGGAGCCUGCUCCUGGAUUCAGCGGCGGACGGGUGAGUAAUGCCUAGGAAUCUGCCUGGUAGUGGGGGAUAACGUCCGGAAACGGGCGCUAAUACCGCAUACGUCCUGAGGGAGAAAGUGGGGGAUCUUCGGACCUCACGCUAUCAGAUGAGCCUAGGUCGGAUUAGCUAGUUGGUGGGGUAAAGGCCUACCAAGGCGACGAUCCGUAACUGGUCUGAGAGGAUGAUCAGUCACACUGGAACUGAGACACGGUCCAGACUCCUACGGGAGGCAGCAGUGGGGAAUAUUGGACAAUGGGCGAAAGCCUGAUCCAGCCAUGCCGCGUGUGUGAAGAAGGUCUUCGGAUUGUAAAGCACUUUAAGUUGGGAGGAAGGGCAGUAAGUUAAUACCUUGCUGUUUUGACGUUACCAACAGAAUAAGCACCGGCUAACUUCGCG